ensembl:lncRNA
GGAAAUUAGUGUGAGGUUUACUGUAUAGGAAAUUUGGGCACUGCAUUCUAUUCUCAGUAGUCUUUGAUACAUGAACCCAUGCAAACCUGUUUCACUCAUUCUGAGGAUGUUUGAGCAGGGAAGAAGAACUGUGUUCCCUGUGGGAAAUCAGACAGCUGUUCACUACUAAGACCGAAGCUUAAAGGAACAGUUUUACUUACUGUUAAUUCUUUCCAUUUACCAGUGCCUCCACUUGUUUAGUGUUAGAAAAUAAUGGUUAAAAUGUGGUCCUGAUACAAAACCAUGGAGACUAUAUAAGAGUAUUUUUUUAACAAACUGGAAAACAAGACUAAAAAAAAAAAAAGUUUCAUUUUGCUAGGAAUAGUUUUCCACUGCACAGAAUAAUGAGUUACGAGUUUCCAAAAUGUAAUGGAGCCCUGGAGCUGCUUCAUCUUUGUCCUUGAAACUUCUGAAAUGCCUGAAUCAAGCCUGGGCUCACUUCCAAAUGUGAAACUGUGGGAUUCCUGCACUCCUACAUAUGAGACCCAGACUGAACUCAAAGGACUGACCAGUUUACCUCCCCAACCAGACUACUUUCUUCAUAGUGCACAAUUGAAAUUGGAGUACACUCGGGUUUCCUUACUUUGAAAAAGCUCAGAAGGAGCAUUUACAUCUCCUAGUGAAAGACUGCAGAAUGGAGCUGAAAUUAAGUUAUUAGAGUUCACGAUUUGUCUUGGCCCAGAGCCUAAUCCAGUUUAUAAUCCAAGAUCUAUGUUGGAGUCUCUGCAUCAGAAGUCUCUUCAUUUAAUUGUGUAAUCCUCCACACUGAUCAAGGAAGAAAACUUAGGGUCAUUGCUCAGUGAAUUGCCUUACAAUGCACGACAAUUACAUUGGAAGCAAAACAAAGGUACCAGCUUAUAAAGAGAAAAAGAAAAAAGAAAAAAGAAAAAAAAAAAGGAAAUCUCUAGUUCAGUUGGACAGAUUUGCAAGGAUCUUCGAAAAUGUGAAGGAAAUGGCUUUCUUCAAUCAGUUGUGUCUGUGUGGAGAGUGAAGGUGAAUAGUCUCAGCUCGGGAGGAAUGUAAUUUGGAAAGGUACGAGCAGCUGAGAAGGGAUUCUCAUGGGCACAGCGUUUGAACACUAAAGUGGCGGCUAUCUUUCCCACUGCAAUAAAAGGGAAGCUGGUAACAAUGGUGUGCUAUAAAAAGCAAAGGAACAUUUUUCUUUGUCAAACAACCACACCUCUCUGGCAGUGCUGCUGCUGUUGCUGCAGUACACUGGCUGAAAUCCACUCUGCCUUUGAACUCUACUGUUACAGAAUUUCAAUUAAAACUGAAAACCACACAAAGGUUGUGGGCAUAAAGAAUACCAAAAAGACACAUCCAUACCAUUGAUUGUUUUUGUUUUUCUUGGUCUGAUUAGGAAAUAAUGAUUUAAGCUGAUGGUGAGAUCCCAGGUAUUGCUGUAUAGGAAAAUUUUACCUAAUUAAAGAUGGGGAAGAACUAUAGAAAAUUCUCCAAGAUCAGAGCUGCCAUUCAAAAGAAAAAGUCAUACUGGGGUUCAAAAUCCCUCCAGAAACUGUUUCACUCCAUUAAAAAAAAAAAAAAAAAAAAAAAAAAAAAAAAAAAGUAUUUGAAGCCUGGAGGAAGAAUACUAUUUAAGAGAGUUUUUACCUUAAGUGAUGUACCCAACAAGGCCUUAUGUAUGCUGCAACAAGCUACAGUACCUGCAGGGUGCUUAUCUACCAUGGAAGUCUUCUAUUAUCUCAUUCUUUACAUGAAUGAAAGUUGAAUAAAGUUUCUUCUUUCUCAGAAACCAUUACACUGAUUUGACUGGGUCUGGAAGUAGCAGAAUGUUUUCCACCCAAUUAUUUUCAACUGAUUGAGAAUGUAUUACUUUACUCAUAGGCACUUUGGAGUUUCAAUGACUAUGUGAAGGACAGUACUUCCAGUAACAUUUAGAAACAUUCUGAGUGGAGAGAAGAUGAAAAGAAAAACCAAAACCAAAAACAAAACCACAACCAAGCAAAACACUUAGUUGUUUAAAAAUGCAUCCAUUUUCUCAUGUUUUGUUUUUUUUUUUUUUUCUUCUGGAAAUCAAUGCUGCAAGUUAUUGUUGUUAAUUGUAAUGAGAUCAUAAGUUUAGAAAACAUUCCCUCAUAAAAAAACAAAUGUCUUUUAAUAAAGUAUGAGAAUUGUGGAAUGACUAUUGGUAAUAAAAAUGAAAUCUGACAAAGAAUACAGAAUAGCCACAGUGGGGAUAACAGAUAUAUUUCUUUGGAACUGUUAGCUGCAUUAACAUCAUAUAAAACUGUGUUCUAAGAUAUCUGAGUUCUAUGUGAAGGAUCAUAUGUAAAUUUUAACUAAACUGGAGCCAUUAUAUUAUCAUAGGUACAAUGUGCUAGAUAGAAGGCUGUUUCACAUCCACUGAAUAGAUGUGUAUGUUCAUGCAUGUAUGCAUAGCUGUAUGUCUAUAAAUAUAUUCAUAUGUUUAGAGAAAACUUGAACUGGUGGAAAACUGAAAGGACAGGAAGAAAGCAUAGUUUGACUAAAAAGAUAGUUGUUCCAUCUUUCUGUUUCUUUAUUCACCAUAUUUACAUUUUAAUCAGAAGUUGGACUCAAUCCUUAGGCAUCCCUUCCAACACGGGAUAUUCUAUGAUUCUAUGAUUCUAUAUUUAUUUCCCUGCUCACUUCUUUUGUAUAAAACCUACUUUCUAAUUCAGUUGGGUAACUCAUCUUUAAUAUUAUUUUAACAGAUCUUGUCUUACUUUCAUGGAGUAGUCACAGCAAAGGUUGCAUUGUAAAAGAAAAUUGCCUCACUACUGCACUGGGUUUUCUAAUUACUAUAUCUGGUACCACCAUUGGAUAUUUGGAGAAGAAGAAAAGAGAGAGGAAAGAGAGACCACUGUUAAUCACCCCUUACUAGUAGUUGAGGCCCUCAACUUGUUAUUUAAUUUUCAGUUUUACAUACCUCGAUUUCAGAAAACAAAUGAUAGAAAAAGAACCUCAGCUGCAUACCCCGGCUUGCAGGCAAACCUCUUCUAUAAAUAUGUGACCAUUUUAUGAAACUGUAUGGAAGAGAAAAUACGACUAUGAACUUAUGAACAUGUCGAGUGUUUCCCAAAAGAGUUUUAUGGUUUUAUGAUCUAUGAGUUGAAUCAACUCAAAGGAAACUUGAUUUUAUUAAGAACAGCAUCUCAGAACUCAUCUGUGGGUUUGGAUUUCCAACACACUCCUGUAAAUUUGUUGAAUUAUUUAUUUGCAGUGAUGAGACGAGAACAGGAUUCUUCAAGUGGGCUGUACAGUUUGCAUGUCUUACAAAAAAUCUGAUCCAGAAAGACAGAUCUCCAUCAUUCUUAUAUAAGUCUUUUAUAAAUUUGCCCACUGUUAUUGUAAAAUUAGUCUUUUUACAGGAGUGAAAUUUCAAAUUGCUGAAACACUUUCCUGUAGAAUCAUGAAGUGAGAAGAAAAAAUUGAGAAGUAUUUCUGCCUGUAUGAGGAAACACAUGAGCACUGAUACAGAAGGUAUCAAGCCAGCUUGCUGACCAUUGCUUCUAGGACAGCUGGAAGGUCAUGGGAAAUAUUCCACUUCACCAUUCCAAAAUCCUUGCCAUUCCAGUUUGCCUCUUUUCAUUAUUUUUAUUAUACAGAAGCCCAGCAUGUUGUUAGGUCUUUGACAAGGAUUUGAACAAAAUUUAAUAUAUAACUACAUUAUUGAAGGAGUCAUAGAAUUAUAGAAUCAUAGAAUGGUUUGUCUUGGAAGGGUUUCUUAAGAUCCCUAGUUCCAACCUCUCUGCUAUAAGCAGGGACAUCUCCUACUAGACCAGGUUCCUACAUGCCCUCAUAAAAAGUGGCCUGAUAGCUGCCUUUCAGUAUCUAAGGGAGACCUACAGGAGAGAAGGGGACAGACUCUUUGGCAGGGUCUGUGAUGAUAGAAAAAGGGGAAAUGAUUUCAAACUAAAAGAGAGGAUAUAAGGAAAAAGUCUUUUACAGUGAGGAUGGUGAGGCAUUGUAACAUAUUUCCCUGAGAAAUGGUGGAUUCCCUCUCCCUGGAGACACUGAAGAUCAGGUUGGAGGAGUUCUAAGCAACAUGAUCUACCUUUGGAUAUCCUUUUUCAUUGCAAGGAUGACCGUUAAGGGUUCCUUCCUACUCAAAUGAUAUAUGAACUUGAGCACACCCUUUCUUUCUUCCACGAUUACCCACGGAAUAUGAAAGUAAUAGAAUGUCUACUGCAUACUUGCUUUCCUUACCCCUGCCUCUCCCCAGGUUUUGCAGAUUGUAUCUGCAGUUGCAUUUUUCAUCACUUCCUCUUGAGAUUGUGGGAAAGUGAGGACAAAGUAUGACAUUAAAAACAAUUUGACUCUAAAAGGAAAAAAUAAACCAGACUAUUGCUAGGAAAACAUUAUUGAAAAUCCUAUGAAAAUAUAAAUACAAUUUAUUUUGGUAUCCUUAAUCCUCUUAAAAUGGAAGAAUUAAGCCCAAGAAGCUGUUUAACUGCAUGUAGAAAUCAUGGUGAAUUUAUCUUCAUUGGGUGACCUCAUCAAAUUAUUCUCCACUGCUGUGAUUUUUUUUGAAGACAGCUCAAUAACAUUUGACUCCCAGUUCCCAUUAGAAUUUAAUGAGAACUGGGCCUCUAAGUCCCCCAGAUUCCUUUGAAAAUAACCCAGCCUAUGAUAAAAUAAUACAGUUCUGUGCAUCCUUAAUUUCUGACAGCAUGUUCAUGUCUGGAAUAUUGAUUGCAACUGCUACUGCCAAGCACACAGAUCCCAUCACUCUUGCCUGCUUUUCCAUUAUGUCAUAAAUAGAUAGCACAGCUCAAUAGAUCAUACAGAUAGAUGGAGCUGGACUACUUACAUGGACUUGCAGGAAAAAACAACUAAUAAUAACCAAGUAUCUAACUUGAUUGGACAAAUUACUUGAAUGAUUUUUAAAAGCUCUGAAAUGAGUAACUUCGAAGAGUGAAUAACGGCGAAAACAAGGCCAGGUCCAACAGUAGUAAUUAGAUUCAAGUAAAAAAUAAAACUCAAUUGGAAAGUUUUAAAGUCUUUGUAUUAUGCAAGUAACCUGGAAAGUUUGUGGUACCAGAAAUGGGAGUUCAAUUAAAUAUUUGGAAAGCCAAAAACAAACAAACAAACAAACAAAAAAAAACCAAAAACCAAAAAACAAACAAACAAAACAAAACCCAAAACCCAAAACAAACAAAACAACAACAAAAAACCAGACAUGCAAGCAGAAUCAUUUAGUAUCCUGCUAAGCUGAAAACACAUUCAAACUAAAACGAGAACUCAGGUGGUUGAAUAAGCAAUAGGAAAAAAGGAACAGAGUUGUCAAAAUAAAAUAUAUUUCAGACUGACUUGAGUAAAAUUUUAAUCCUUGAUUUCAUUUUUCGUGUUUGUACAUUUGUUCCCAGCAGUAAAAUCACAACAUCAUUUCACAGAAAGGUAAGGAAAGGAAAGGAAAGGCAAAGAAAAAGUGCUGGUGAUUCAGCCUCCAGGCUCUCCAUAAAACCUACUAGGAAGCAGAAUGCAAAGUUGUUUUUGUAUGUCCUACUGUGACUUAUCAUGUUAUUAGAAGUCUAUUUCCUCAUCUUUCUGGGGAAAAAAAAGAAAAAAGUGACAACUCAGGAAGAUCACUGUUGGGCUUCAUUCUUCCAUGGAAUUAAAAAAAACGAAACAAAACAAAAAAAAUCCAAAGCAAACAACAAAAAAAGCAACCUGUACUCAGCAGCUAUGGUUUGCAACACUGCACCAAGAUUAGGUUAGAUAUUCAUUUUAAGAGCAGGCCAUUACUUUUGCAGUACUUCUGCAGGAGUAAGACUAAGGAAAUAGCCUAACAGAUCUCAUUCAUAUGCAGCAACUCACCAGUCUCAAUAGAUAGGAUUAACUUGGAUUCUUCACAGGGAAUCCAAUUUCAUAAUUAUUUUGUUUAGUUUUAUCAUUUUAUUUUAUUUUUACUUUAUUUAAUGAAUUUAAAUGAAAAUAUCUAGAAAUCUAUCAGGAACUGGGACUCCAUUUUGUCCCCUGUAUGUGGGGCCUACUAUAAAACUGCAAAACCAAAAUUGUGGUUCAUAUUCUUUUAACAUCUCCAAUCUAAAGAGGAAAGAUAAAACUGAGAUACAGAGGAUUUGGUGUCCAAGGAGCCAGUGGAAUGCCUAAGGGCAGUUUAAAGCAAACUUGAAUGUUUACACAGUCUCAAACCACCCUUCUUUUCUGAACACACCAGGGGAGACAAAAUUUGUCAUCCUAGCAGGCAGGAGUGUAAGUACAUCUCCUGCAUACCUGCUGCCAAAGGGUAUUUGUAUGUUUGAAAGUUACUGCGGCAAAAGAAUGUCAAGCAAUGACUUAAAGACUGAUGAAGUGCUUUCUGGACAUCACUGAUGAAGUUCUCCUUAAAGCAGGUGGCCUAGCAUCAAACAAAAUAUAAAUAUACCUGCUGGAAAAAUAGAAUGAUUAGUUAACAUCGUAGGGCAAACAAAUGUUAAACUGACCUCAAGUCCAAAGGAGAGAUGAAAGACAGAUGGGGGCUGGUGAAUGCACUUGAUAAUGUUGUUGGGAGCCUUAAAUCUGGUGGACAGAGAAACAGGAACCUUUGGAUGGAUGGAUGUAUAGGGUGACAAGGAUGAAACUAUGGAAAUCUGAAAUACUACCUCCUGGUACAUUUGCAUUUCAGGAAUCUGAGCACUUAAAUAGAGAGAGGCAGUGGCGAUGAAAUGGAAGAUAAGUUUUACUCAUGAAUUAGUUGUAAUCAUCUGUAAUAUUGUGUUAGCUGGAGAGCAAACGUUUAGGAGCAUGAUCAGGAAGAUUAGUUGAUUUUCCACUUGUAUCAUAUAACGUAUGAAUACAACAAAUUCUGCAACAUAUUAAAUAUAUAUGGAAUUAUUUUAUUUUAACUUAUAGCAAAGGUGAUUUACUUCUUUACACAAGAAAGAUUCCUAUGACCAUUUGUAGUCAUAGAACUUAGCAGUCUAAGUUCCAAAGUUGAAACUUUAAUUGGAACUAUAGGAAAUCUCCUCUGAUAGCUCUGAUAAUAGAUAGCUCCUCUGAUACAUCUAACCAGUAAUAAUUUCACAUCUAUAGAUUUUUGAUGUGGCCUUUUAAUGUACUUUUGGAUCCUCCUGCAUGAUGAUGAUUCUGGUCUUGCAAGCUGCUGUGUGUAGGCAGCCCCUGACACCAGAGACCACUGCUGUGGGAGUUAGAAAGUCUGUGCUCAGAUGGAAAGGUCAAACUGCACAGAAUAGCUUGCAGGUUCAGAAGCCUGCCUGAAAUACUCUCAGCUUAGAACAAACCUGAAUUACUUUGUGAGUAUGAAACAUUUAACACGAGAGCCUGCAAAAAGUGGUAAAGGUUUUGUAUAUAGCUGUCUAAGAUGAGCUAACCUAAGACUUAAUUAGCUAUUAUAUACAAAGAAACCCUUUUUAAUAAAUAAUUAAAUAAUUAAAAUCCUGGCCUGUGACAGUAGCAAAAUCAGUUUUGCAGUUGGAAGUCUACUUCUGUGCUUUCUUUAUUAUUAAAUACAUCAUUUUAAGAAGGCAAUUUUGAACUGAAUAGAUGUGAAUCUAAGAACACCAAAACCCACUUUGUGUCUUGAUAGAAACAUUUUUUGUGUGUGUUUUGAUCCUGGAAAUUUCACAUCUCUCUUUUAACUUUCUUAAGAAAUAACAUUACUUCUGUUUCUCCAGUCGUUUACUUGCUUAAACUCCAGAGCAUACUGGUGUGCUGCAUAAUUGGAACAAAGCUUAAUAUUGUAAAUAAAAACCUUUACCUCCAAAUCUGCAGAGGAACUGUAUUUAAAGAAAUGAAACAAAAUAGAAUUUAAAUGCUUAAAUACAAGAUAAUGUUUAGAAACUUUAGCUGCCCACAAUCAAACAUUCCCAGCUGAAGUUUGAUUACUUUGGCUUGCAUUUAUCUGAUACUAAAAAAAAUAAGGAUUGGUUGUCAUCGAGGUAUUGGAAAGUGACAAAUAUAAUAUAAUUUCUAAAAAGAAUGACCAUCAACCCAGUACUGCAUACAGUAUGGAUGAAAGAAAGCCCUUUUUACCUAGCUUCAAAUUCCCCACAGCCUUCUGGAUUUUACAUAUUUACCACAGGUACUCAUAGAACUGAGUUGUUUGAAAUGUGAAAAUGUCUGAAUGUGUUUUCAGGAGCAGCCUGAAUAAUGUGGACAACACAUCAACAGAGAGCAAAACUAAUACAGAUACACUGAAUAAAAAGGACAGAGAGGGAGAAAAAGAUGUAGAUGAAAAUGCAUAACAACAGGGCAUAAAAACAGUGUCAAUAUCCUUAUCUAUUUAAUUAAUGUUGGAAAUAAGUUUAGUUAAAAUUAUGCAAUAAUAAUUAAUUAACAAUCUAACUCUAGAUUCUCAUGUCAUUAUUCAUCUUUAAAAAUAUUUGAUACAGUGGUUAUUGAUGAGUUUUGUAUUUUUCUAGUAGCUUUGCUAACCCCUGAUUAUUACUGCUCAUAUAUUGACCUUUUUGCCAUAUGUUUUGAUCAACUUUGAAUUAUUAGUAUUUAAAUUUUCUAACAGAUUAUUGAAGUCUCAAAAUACAAUGGUUUUUGUAGCAAAAUCAUUAAUGUGAUAAGAUGCAGAUCAAAAGGAGUGUUCACCACCGUGAAUACAAAUAGUACAAUAUGAAUUAAUAUGAAAAAAUGAAACACUGUGAACAACAGACUUCCAUUAAUGUGUUAGUGAGCAUAUUAAUGACAAAAUUGCUGAAAGAUACAAUGAAAAGUCUCAACUAAGAAAAAAAAUAUGGAACAUUUCUCAGAAUAUAAAUGAAUUCCUAAAUGAAACAAUUUAAAGGUUAAUUUGGUAUUAUUUCCUGGAUAUGUGUGUCAAAUUUAUUCAUUGAUCAAAAGCACUCUUUUACACAAACAAACAGAUAAAUGCCCUUGAUAAUAAACAGCAAUUGAAAUGCUACAUCAGGUGAUAGUGCAGACUACUUUCCUUUGGUCUAGUGAGUCAUUCAGGGAGUAAGACUAUCUUAUCCACACAGACCCAGUGUACUGAAAUUUAUGACAGUCAUUCACAGUUUGGGGGCUGCUAGAUUGCAUACGUUCUUUCAAAGAGAUCUUAUUAGGUAUUCUGCUGCUGAGGCAUCUGCUGGUCAGGGUAAUCUUGAUGCAGGUCAUGUAGAAGACUUGUGGACAUGAAGAACAGCAUUUUUCCAUUACUAGCUUGAUUCCAAAACCAAUGAACUAUUAGCUAUGGUGGUGCAGGAGACUUUUCACCAGUGUUUUAUUAAGAAGUCCAGGGUCUCUAAAUUUGGCAGUGCCCAUGGGCCAUAGUUAUAUUCUACUAAUGAGAAAAUUAUGAUACUGACAUCAGCUUCCCAAUCCUUUUCCCUAAAGAAAACACAUAGCAUAUUAAUCUGUAUAAUUAAUGUCAUGUUUCUUCAUAUCCUCUCUCUCCAAUUAUCCUCAAAAUAAUUCUGUUUGACUCCAAAUACCUGAAAUCUUUAAAAACUUUAUACCAAUAUCUCUAUGGUAGAUCUCUUUGAGUGUAGUUGUAACUCAUAACAAAAACAUUGUAUUUCUGUUAACGUAUGGAUAAUUACAUCAGAAGUCACAUACAGACCAUCAUGAGAAUAAUGCUCGUUCUUAUUGCUGUAUUUUGAAAUUUAAAGAUCCUUAGCACUGAAUAAGUGACAGAAGUAUGCACAAUAAAUUUAUACUAUUGCUUUUAAACUCAUAUCUGCCUUUUUGAUAGUAGAGAACAGCAGAGAAAAUAAUUAAAUACCUACAAAAAUAUUUUGUUUGUAUGUGGUGUUUUGGAGAGAAAGGUAGGUAAGAUUUAUUUAUAUUAAUAAUGUGUCACCAUUUUAUGUACCAGAAACUGCAUAGUUAAUAACUGCACUUGAGUUACAGUGAAGAUUUUCAAUACUUUCAAAUGAAAUUUUAUAUAAAUUCUGAUUUGUUUUAAUAAAAUUUAAAUGUUUGGUAACAGCUUAUUCUUUUUGUUGGAGAGUUUUAUGUUCCAUAGUUACAUUGACUUAAAUUGGCUGAGAUGUGUGAGUUUUAAUGAUUCACCUAGAAAGUUAUAUAGACCAGUGUUCAGAACAAGAGCAACGGGAAGUAAGUCAGCAAGAGAAACAAGCCACGUAAGUGACUGCCUGCAAACCAGUAGCUUCGCCCAAGAUCUAUCAACUGCUACUAGGUGCUUAUGAAGUGUACCAGGCUUGGAGCUGAUAAGGACUGGAAAAUGACCUGAAAAUUUUUUAAAUGCAAAGCAGCUCCUAUAAGAGCCACCUGGAAGUGUGGCCCAUAACCAAUGUUGGUGUUUUUUUUAUUAUUAUUAUUUUUUAUUUUUUGUAUAUCAAUAGAUACUUAGAAGAGAACAAAAAGCACUCUAGAGAUGUCUCAAGAAAGAGGAAGGCCUGAUGUCCUUCUCUUUGUAAUAGAAAUACUUUGUUAUGAAGCUCAACUUCAUUCAGAUCUUUGGAGAUAGGGACUUGCAGCCUGGAAUGUUGAGAAUAACACAUUUUCAAUAUGAGCUGAAGGAACUCGAGCUGUUUAGUCUGGGGAAAAGGAGGCUGAGGGGAGACCUUAUUGCUCUCUUCCAAUAUUUGAAACGUGCUUACAGCGAGAGCGAGGUUGGCCUCCUCUCACUCGUGACAGGUGACAGGACAAGGGGAAAUGGCCUCAAGUUGCACCAGGGUGAGUUUAGGUUGGAUAUCAGGAAGCACUUCUUUACAGAAAGGGUUGUUAAGCACUGGAAUAGGCUCCCCAGGGAGGAGGUUGAGUCACCAUUGCGGGAUGUGUUUAAAAACCACUCAGAUGUGGUGUUCAGGGACAUGAUUUAGCAGAG